rnacentral:lncRNA from 10 species
GGUGUUGGUCUGGAAUACACCCAGAUAACCAGCCUCCCUGACUCCAAGGCCUGGGUCGUUAACCUCUUCACCAUGUUCAGUAGCUGGGUAAGUGAAGGAAGAGGGGAGGAUAUUGCUGACAGAAUAAACUAUAUAUAGAAUAGAAGAAUGAGGACUUCAGGCGUGGUUGGAGCCUGACAUUUCUUUUUCCUGUGUGGAUAUCAUGGUAUUUGUGGACAGGGAUUUGGCUGAAAAGUUUAGUUGAGGUAACAAUAAGGAGUACCUUGCCUAACGUGGACUUCCAUCAACAGGCCUCUGGUUGUCAGACAGGGACAUCCAUACCGGUGAGGAUCAUCAAUGUGAAAGGCGUCAUCAGUCUUAACCAGUUGUAGGAGACAUCCCAUCUACACAAUACAGCCCAAAUGAUCAGCUGCAUUCCUGCACAGCCAUCUCUAAAGUAUAUAUAAAUGAAGGAGAAGAGCAGUAUGAUUUUAUUACCAAAUUCACAAAAAGGACAAGCUGUGAAACGUCUAGAUUCCAGAGCAACAGACUGUGAUCCAUUCCCAGCAACCCCUCCCUACCGUCUGCCACAAGCUCCCAUAAAGCAGGAAUCAGAGCUAGACUGGCUCAGCUUAGAAUUGUUUUGGAGAACUUGGAACUCAACAUUCCAUAAAGGAGCGAAAGACAAAACAUAUUUAUUCCAGGCCAGGUCUUAAAAUGCAUGCUGCACUGUUCCCUGUUAUUAUUGGCACCAACAAGGAGAGAACGUGCCUUAAUGGCAGCUCCACCCAGAGCUUGCCAUGUGGCUGCUGUGAGGCUUCCUGUGAGUCCAUAUAGUCUUCUUCCUCAUUGGAGCAGUCAGUGAGGUUUUCUACCCUCAUAGCAAAGGGAUCCUUAACUAUAAAUUCACUGUGUGCAGAGAAGAGGACAGAAUCUGAUGCAUUGAUUGUUCCUCAUUUAAACCAUGACUUAAUCUGUAUCUUAGGAUUUAACUAUCCUUAUUUUCUGAUUAAAAUUUUUUUUUAAUAAAAGGAAGGGGGAGAGUGGUAAGGGGCAAAGCAAUAGAAAUUAUGCUGUGCUGGCACGGAGACUUUAAGUUCUAGUCAGAUUGAAGGCCCAUAUAAAGGGCCGACUGAAGUUUUGUGUCCUCUGACAAACAUCUGCCCACUCCUUAUGCCCCCCAGCCUCAGGUUGCCCCCAUUUUACUAUCAGUUCAACUUUUUUACACUCCCUAUAUAAGUGAGAUCAUGUGGUACUUUUCUUUUUAUGCCUGGCUUAACUCACUUAACACAUCCUCCAUAUUUAUUCAUGUGGUCACAAUGACAGAAUUCCCUUCUUUGUAUAGCUGAAUAGUAUUUCAUCAUGUAUAUAUGCCACAUAUUCUUUAUCCAUUCAUUCACUGAUGAACACUUAGAUUUAUUUCAUAUCAUGACUAUUGUGAAUAAUGCUCCAAUGAACGUGGGAGUGCGGAUCUCUCUUUUACAUAUUGAUUUCAAAUUAUUUGGAUUUAUAACCAGUAGUGAAAUUACUGGAUCAUAUAGUAGUUCUAAUUUUUGAGGAACUUCCAUACUGUUUCCCAUAAUGACUGUAUUAAUUUACAUUCCCACCAACACUGUACAAAGAUUCUCUUUGCUCCACAUCUUUGUCAAUACUUCUUAUCAUUUGUCACAUAAGACAAAAGCCAUUUUACAGGUAUAAGAUGAUAUUUCACUGUGGUUUUCAUAUGUAUUUCCCUGAUGAUUACUGGUGAUCAUUUUUUUCAUAUACUUGUUGGCUGUUUCUACACCUUUUAAGAAAUGUCUAUUGAGGUAUUUUUCCCAUUUUCAAAUCAAGUAAUUGUUUUCUUUUUAUGAGUUGUUUAAGUUCCAAAUAUGUUUAGAAUGUUAAGUCCUUAUCAGAUGUAUGUUUUGCAAAUAUUUUCUUCCAUGCCAUAGGUUGUCUCCUUACUCUAGUAAUUGUUUCUUUUCCUGUACAAAAGUAUUUUAGUUUGGUGUGAUCCCAUUUGUCUGUGUUUGCUUUUGUUGCUUGUGCUUUUUGGGUCACACUAAAAAAAAAAAAAAAAAAAAAAAAAAUCAUUGCCCAAAAGCAUGCCAUGAAGCUUUCCCCAUAUGUUUUCUUAUACUGUGUUUACAGUUUAGGUCUUUAAUCAAUUUUGAUUUUUAUAAGUGGUGUGGGAAAAGGGUCCAAUCUCAUUCCUGUGUGUAGAUAUCCAGUUUUCCAACCCCAUUUAUUACAUAGACUGCCUUUCCUCCAAUGCAUUUUCUUGACAUCAUUGUCAAAAAUGAAGUGGCUGUAAAUGUAUGGAUUUAUUUCUAAGCUCUCUAUUCAAUUUUAUUGGUCUAAGCAUCUGUUGAGUAUGAGUUUAGCUAUGAAUUUUUUAUAUGACCUUUAUUGUGUUGUGGAACAGUUCUACUUAAUUUGUUGUGAGUUUUUAUGAAAGCAUGUUAAAUUUUGUUGAAUUUCUUUUCUUCAUCUAUUGAGAUUAUCAUAGUUUUUGUUUUUUAUUUUAUUAACAUGAUAUAUGGAAUUUAUUGAUUAGCCUAUAUUAAACUGUUCUUGAAUUCCAGGAAUUAACCCCACUUGCUCAUGGUGAAUUAUCCUUUUAAUAAGCUGUUGAAUUUGGUUUGCUAGUAUUUCGUUAAGAAUUUUUAAUCCAUCAUUCAUCAAGGAUGUUGGCCUGUGAUUUUUUUUGUCCUUGUGUCCUUGUCUGGGUUUGGUAUUAGAAUAAUUCUGCCUUUAUAAAAUGAGUUUGCAAGUGUUCUUUCCUCUUCCGUUUUUCAGAAAAGUUUGAGAAAGACUGGUAUUAGUUAUUUAAAUAUUUGGUAGAAUUCAGCAUUGAAGCCAUCUGUUCCUGAAAUUUUUCUGUGAUGGGAGAAUUUUUAUUACUGAUUUAAUAUACUCUUAACCAUUAUUGAUCUGUUCAGAUUUUCUGUUUCUUCAUGAUUCAGUCAUGGUGGAUUGUAUAUGUCUAGGAAUUUAUUCAUUUCAUUUAAGUUAAAUUUGUUGGCAUAUAAUUGUUUUAGUAGUCUCUUAUGAUCCUUUAAUAAAAUUCGCCUACCAUAAGUCUGACAAAUGUAUUUCUGUGGCAUGGGUUGUAAUGUCAUUUCUUUCAAUUCUCUUUUUAUUUAUUUGAGUCUUUAUCCCUUUAUUUGUGACUUCUCCCAUAGUCUAGCUAUGGGUUUGUCAAUUUGGCUUAUCUUUUCAAGAAAACAAUCCUUAGUUUUGUUUAUCUUUUCUAUUGUUUUUAUAAUCUCUAUUUUAUUUAUUUCUGCUCUGAUCGGUAUUAUUUUCUUCCUUCUGCUAAUUUUGAG